rnacentral:rRNA from 1 species
AUUGAACGCUGGCGGCGUGCCUAAUACAUGCAAGUAGGACGCAGUUGCGAACGGGUGAGUAACGCGUAGGUAACUGCCUCUUAGAGGGGGAUAACUAUUGGAAACGAUAGCUAAUACCGCAUACUAGUAGAUGGACCUGCGUUGUAUUGGCUAGUAGGUAGGGUAAUGGCCUACCUAGGCAACGAUACAUAGCCGAUCUGAGAGGGUGUGCGGCCACUCUGGGACUGAGACACGGCCCAGGAUCCUACGGGAGGCUGCAGUAGGGAAUCUUCGGCAAUGGGGGGACGCCUGACCGAGCAACGCCGCGUGAGUGAAGAAGGUUUUCGGAGCGUAAAGCUAUGUUGUUAAGGAAGCGGUACUUAACCAGAAAGGGACGGCUAACUACGUGCCAGCAGCCGCGGUAAAC